rnacentral:lncRNA from 1 species
AAAACUGCAAUCAUAGAGUGUACAUUAUUUUCUUACUUUUUUCACCUAAUUUAGUUACAUGCACCAUAAUGCACUUUAUUUUAUUGCUGAAUAGUAUUCUGUUGUACACUUAAAUCAUAAUUUAUUUUACCAACUUGAUUUUAAUAAAUAUUUGAUGUAUUUUAGAGUUUUGUCUAUUAAGAGUAAAACUAAUGUAAAUAAUUGUGUUUCUGGUGUUUUCACUCAGUAUAAUUUGUAUUUCCAUUUUUCUUUUGCUGGGCAUGUAAUUUGUUUCCCAUUUUUGAUUACAGGAAUAACUCUACAAGAAUCAUUCCUGUAUAAGUUGUUUUGUUGACUCGUUUUUAAUUCUGGGCUAAGUACCUUGAAAUGGAAUUACUGGAAUACAGAAUAGAUUUAUCUAUAAUAUGAUAUAUUUUUUAAAACCUGCCAAACUAUUUUCGGAAGUGUUUCUACUAUUUUAUAUUCCUAACAAAAUAAUAAAAAGUUUUAGUUGUUCUUCAGCAUUUCCAACUUAUUUUGUCUGUAUUUUUUAUUUUAGCAACUUAGUAGGGAAGUUUGUGGUUCAUCUCAUUGUAAGUUCAUUUCCUUCAUGACUAAUUAUGCUGUGUGCAUUUAAUUUGCUUAUUGACCAUUUUUUAAUCUUCCUUUUUCAAGUGUCCAUGACCACAUUUUAGUCGUAUUUUUAAUUAUUGAUUUCUUAGAGUUGAUUGUAAAUUUUAUAUCAUAGUCCUUGCUUGGAUGCAUAUAUUGUGAGUAUUUGCUCUGACUUCAUGGCUGAUUCUUUAUUUUGCUAAUGGUGUCUUUGGAUGUCAGGAAUUUUAAUAUUAAUUAAGUCAAUUUAGCAAAUUUUCUUGAUAGUUAACGAUUUAGGUGAUCUCAUUAAAAAUCCUUCUUUACCAUGAAGAUAUUAUUUGAUGAGUUUAUGAAUUUUCAUAUUUCAGCAUUUAGGGUGAGGUACAUGAUUCAUUUUUAAAUGUGUUAAGAGUCCAGCAUUUGAUAGGAUUCAAGGUUUAUUUAUUUUCUCUACCAUCUAACCAAAACUGAACUUCCUUGGAACCUUUGUAGAAAAUAAACAUAGAAUACCUCUGGUUUCUCUCUUCUGUUUCAUUGAUCUAUUCGAUUUUCUUACACAAAUGCCACACUCUUCUGGUUAUUUUAACAUUGUAGUAAUUAUUGGAAUAAAGUUUAUUCAUCAUUUUUAAGAUUAUUCAGCUAUUCUAGAGCCUUUAGGUUUUCAUGAAAAUAAUUUAAUAAAGUUGUUCAUGUUUUCCAAAAAGAAUGUUACAUUCUUACUGGGAAUGCAUUAAAUCUAUAUAUAGAUCAAUGUGUGGACAAUUGAAUCUAUAAAUAUAAAAUAUUCCAAUUCAUUAGCUCAUUCUGUCUCUGUAUUUAUUUAUGGCUUCUUAAGUAUCUCCUUUCAGUAACUUAAAGUGUCUUGGUAAUGUUUUGCAUGUGUUUUGCUUAAUAUAUUCUUAAGCAUUUUAUAGUUUUCGAUGAUUUUAAAAGUAAUGUUUGUCUGAAAUUAAUUUUUAAGUUUUGCUUCUAGUGUCUGAAAUGUAAUUUUAAAAGACAUUGACCUUGUAUCCUACAAAUUUGCUAAUGUCACUUAUGGAUACUGGUAGUUUUUGCAGAUUCCAUAGGGAUUCCUGUGUAAAUAAUCACCUGAUCUGCCAGAAGGUCAGUUAUGCAUAUUUCUUUCUGAUGGUUUCAACUGAUUUGUUCUUGCCUGAUGGAAAUAGCUAAGACCCCCAGAGUAAUAAUCUAUGGAACCAGUGAUAGUGGACAUCCUUGCCUCAUUUCUUACUUUAGUACUAAAAAGCUCAAUAUUUGCACAAUAAGUACGAUGAUAAUUGUAGGUGUCAUAUAGAUAACUUUAUUCAGAUUAAGAAAUAUGUUUUUAGUUUGCUCAGUUUUGUCAAUAAUAUUGUUGAAUUUUGUUAAAUAACUUUUCUGUACCUACUGUGGUAAUAUAAAAUGUGUUAAUGUGGACAUAUACUUGGUUAUUUUUACAGUAAACUGACUUUGCAUUAAUUGGUUAGAAUAUAGUUGGUCAUGAUAUUUUAUCAACUUGUUAUUUUACUAUAUAUGAUUUGCUAAUAUUUAAGGUGUUUUCUAUUUUUAUGAGACACCAAAUUUCCUUCCUUCCUUUCUUUUCUUUUCUUUUCUUUUCUUUUCUUUCUUUCUUUCUUUCUUUCUAUCUUUCUUUCUUUCUUUCUUUCUUUCUAAUAUAACUCUCAGAAUUAGUACUAGGGCUGUAUUAGCCCCACAAAAAAAUCAAAGGAUAUUCUAUUUUUGCUAUUUUCUAAACAGUUUGAAUGAGAUUACUCCUAAUUUUUUCCUAAAUGUAUGAUAAAAUCCACGAAUGAAGCCAAUCUGGGCUGAAGUUGUGGGUUAUUUUGUCAUCACAGAUUUAAAUUACUAUUAAACAGAGGAUCAUAGGUUUCUGCAUUCCUCUUGGAUCAAUUUUAUUAGAUUCAAUCUUUCAAAAAAUUAUCCCUUUAUUGAAUUUGUCAAAUUUGUGUCACAUAUUUUAUUAUUAUAUUCCUUUUUUACUUUGCAAUGACUCUAGCAUCUAUAUCUCCCUUUUAGUUCUUAAUAUUGGAAAUUUCCAUUCUGACUCCAUGUACUGAGCCUUAGAAUUAUCAGUUCUAUUAAACUUUUCAAAGAAUAAAUUUCUGUCUUGGUUAAUUUUCUUUAUUUUAAUUAUAUUUUAUUUAUAUCCACUCAUAUAUAUUUCUUGCUUAAUUCUACUUACUUGGGUUAAAUUUUUAUGUCUUUCCUAAUUUUUUAAAGUGAAGACUUAAGACACUGAUUUUUAAACCUUUCUUCUUUUCUAAUUUCUUCUAAUUUGUCCAAUAUUUUAGUGCCUAUUGGAGGAAGACAAAGUCAAGUAAGAGUUCAUUUGUCAUUGUCAGCUGUGCAAUAAUUUUUAUCUCCCUUUUAAAAAUGUUUAAAUCUAGUAUACAAUACUUUUGCAGCUAUAACAUAUUAUUUAUCAAAUGGCAAAAAUUCUACUAAAUAUUGGAAUAACUAGUUUCAUUGUAAAAUAUUUCAAUAAUCCAAAUAUUUGAUUUCAAUAUAUUUACUUAUAAAACUGUGAUAUUAUUCUAUUAACUUAGAAUUUUCACUUGUAGAUUGAGCCAAAUAUUAAUUCAAUAAGAAAAAGAUUCAUUUUAAUGUUCUUUUUUUAUGAGACAUUUAGUGAUAUAUUUGCUGGUUAAGUACUCUAAGCUGAGGGAUGUUCCAAAUUAAAAGUGCAAAUCAGAAGUCAUAAUGUUUAUAAUUCUUUAUGCUGGUAAAAAUUUUGUUGCUAGGUGGAUAAAUCUGCCCACCAGCUAAAGCUGUAUUAGUAAUAAAACCAUGUCAUAAUUAUAGAGUAUCAAAUAAGAAUAACAUUUCCCAGCUAGAAUCUUGAAAUAUUUAAAUGACUGUUUAAAGUAAUCUAGAUUUCUCUAAGGAAAGGACAUUUUAAGUGGAACACAAAAUAUGACUAAUCUGGACAUACUCAACACUAAUUAAGAACAUUUAUCACUGGUAACCUGAUUCCUUUUCUUAUAAUUGCCAUUGCAUAAAAAUGUCUGAUCAACAUAAAUGUUUGAUUAGUAAAACAUUUUAUUACUUAUAAUAAUGCAUAUCAUAAUUGGCUCUGUAUGCAGAAGAUGGUAUUUUUAGUGAGUACUGUAGUUAUACAGUGAAAUGUUAAUUAAAACGGAAGUAGUAAACUGUUUGUUCCAAGUCCAAUUACUUAAUUAUGGAAUUAAACCAAUAUAAAGCUAAAUAAUUUGCCACUUCUACUCUCACUGGUAUUAUAAAAUGAUAUCCGAAUGAUUUCCAAAUUGAUUAGCAUGACUCUAACUGUCAUGAACUGCAGGUUGCCAGGAUAUUGAAUUCUCGAAACAGCUCAUAACUGUUUUUUUUUUAAUUCCCCUGAUGGCUGUCAGUGUAGCAGUGCAACUUAGCAAUAUAAGAAAGCAUAUAUUUUGGAAACAUUAGAAUGAAAAAAUGUUAUUGUCUUUCGUUCUUUAAAAAUUGCUAUUGUAAUGGUACAAAUUUUGGAGAUGUAUUUACUUUGGUUUGUUUUAGAAUUGACCUUAUCGGUUCAUAAAGAUUACACUAUAGAGCGUACUUUUAAACAAUGCUUUGAAAGGCAAAUGCUUUGAAAAUUGGUUAAGAAAAAUUCCAGUUCAGAAUUUACCACUUUCAAACACUACAUUGAAAAGUGCUUAUAAAAGUUGAUAUUUAAAACAAACAUAUCUUUUUCUACCCAAAGUAAUGUGAUUUUUUUCUGAUGAAUUACUACUAGGUUGGAAAAAAAUUAAAUGAUAUGCAUUUCAAUAGUAAAAUAAUUAUAUGGUUGACUAUGUUCAGAAAUUAGAUCCAUUCAAUUACAUAAAUUUUUAUGCUUCCCUAAUGCAUAAUUCAUAACUUUUAAGCUUGUAAUUCAUAAUUUUUCAGCUUGUCUAAUGCAAUGAAACAAAAAUAAAAUUUAAAUAGUUAAUCUAAAAAUGCUUGUCUUAUAUCUCUGUUUACCUCUCAAUGUAAUAUUAGACUAUCUUUCAAUAGAGACUAUUUUACACAAAUUUUCAUUAGAAUAGAUAAAAUAGACUGUUAAAGACUUUAGAAUUGGGGUGGAAUAAAUAAUUUUUUCUCUUGAUGUUGUCAUAAUGUCAAGCUUUGGAAUAAUAGAAUGGUUCCGUUGCUGCUGUCUAUUACUUUGCAUGCACUGAGGAUAGAAUAGCCCUCCUCAAUGUGGGGUGGUUAUGAUACCCUUUCCCAAAGAACUGUAAACUCUUAGAAGAGCAGGAGUUGUUGCAGUAUCCAACCUUCAAGAUGGCCUCCAAUGAUACCCAUUUCCACAUAUUUAUAACUGUGUACUUUUCUUCUGUUACCAAGGUUGAUACGUGUUACACAUAGAAUAUGGUAAAAGUGAUGGUAUGCCACUUUUGAGAUUACAUUAUAGAAGAGUGAAUUCCAUCUUGAGCCCUCUUGCUCACCUGCUCUUUCUCUCAUAUCACUCGCUUUGGGAGAAACCCUAUCAUGAACAAUCCUAAGGAGAGACCAACAUGGCAAAGAAGAAAAGCCUCCUGCCAACAAUCGUACGAGUGAACUUGGAAGUUGAUUAUGCCACCACAGUUGAACAUUGAGAUGAGUGCAGCCUCAGGCAAUGGACGUGACUGCAACCUUGGGACAGACCUUGAACCAAACCACCCAGAUACUAUGUUUAUUCGGAAUUGGUGGUUUCUGACAACCCUACAUGAGGAAUUCUGUUGACACCAUGUUUCCAACAGGAUGUGAUCACUUUGUAUCUUUGUCACAUUUUGGUAAUUCUUGUACAAUUUAAAAAUCUUUUUAUUAUUAUAAUAUCCAUUAUGGUGAUCUGUGAUCAGUGAUCUUAGAGAUUACUAUUAUAAUUGUUUUGGGGUACCACAAACCACUCCCAUAUAAGAUGUCAAAUUUAAUCCAGAUGUUUUGUGUAUUCUGACUGCUCCACCAACAAGUCAUUCCCCCAUCUCUCUCCCUCUCCUUGAGCCUUUCUAACCAACAAUGUUUAUGGACACCAUAGGCUCUGAAAAUGAAACAUCUGCUAUUGCUAAAAUAUUUGUGCUCAUUCUUUCCUCAUUUGUUUCAUGGUUACUUAUGAAGAUAUUGAAGUUUUAGUGUACAGGCUACAUGAGUAUUAGAUUAUUCCUAUUACCCCCUUUAGUGUAAUACUAGUCUGAUAGCUUUUAGUAUUAGUUUCAGUUAAAAUUAUUUACUCAUUCAUCUCACAAGUUUUUAAAUUAUGUGGAAACAAUGCAUAUCUACUUGAGUUAUGAGUAUUGAAUGUGGACUUGGGGAAAAUGCACAUAUUAAUAUGGAGAGAAGAAAAUAAAUAUUCUAUAUUUCUUUUCUUGUUUUUGACUUAUUCACAUUAGUUUCCUGCUUUUAGCAUGGUCUUAUUUCUGACUAUCCUGUUAAGUGCUAUAAUUACUGUAGAAAAUAUUAAGAUAUAAGUGCUAAUAUUUCUGUAGAAAAUUUUGAGACAUCUAUGUUCUGAAGCACUAUUACAAAUGUUCAUUGUUUAAAACUUGAGAUACCUAGAUUAUUCUGUAUUACUUUGAGUUAAAAAUUGUCAAUUAAUUUAACAACUAAUUUACUUUAACAACUAGUUUAACUAAUUUGUUAAUUCAUUUAACUUGCCAUAAAAUGAUAAAGAAAAGUAUUCCCCACAAAUGAAGUACAGUAUCCUCACUUAACAUUGUCAGUGGGUUUUUGGCAAUUGCAACUUUAAGUAAAAAGACAUGUAGCAGAUCCUGAGUAACAUCAUUUCCUUCAAAGUAGUUUGAUAGUAUGAUGCUGAUGAGAAAAAUAAAUCAGAUCUAUUAUAUGUAUGUAUGUGUGUAUGUAUAUAUGUAUUUUGGAGACAGGGUCUCACUUUGUCACCAAGGUGUGAAACGGCUUACUCUAGCUUCCACCUUCUGGGUUCAAGUGAUCUUCCCACCUCAGCCUCUCAAGUAGCUGUGACUACAGGCAUCCACCACCGAGCUGGCUAACUUUUGUUUUUUGUUUCUUUGUAGAGACAGUGUUUUGUCAUAUUUUCCAGACUGGUCUUGGACCCCUGAGCUCAAGCCAUCUGCCCACCUUGGCUCCCCAAAAUACUGGUAUUCCAGGUGUGAGCCACUGGCCCAGCCCAGGUUUGUUAUGUGUUGCUUGCUUAAAUUAGAAGUUUCCAAAAACCUAUAAUGUUUAGUAAGAACUUAUUGUGCCUUAAAUAUUGCAAAGAUACCAAGGACGUAUGAAGAAUUGGUUUGGUGAUUAUAAUUUUAUUGUACUCUCUUCAAUAAAAUGUCAAUUUUAAGAACCUCU